rnacentral:tRNA from 1 species
AAUAAGAUGCCUGAAAUUUAAAGGGCUAUUUUGAUAGAAUAGAUAAUGUACAAUAUACUCUUAUUA